rnacentral:tRNA from 1 species
GCCGCUGUAGCUCAGUUGGUUAGAGCGCUUGACUGUGGAUCAAGAGGUCGGUGGUUCGAAUCCCCCCAGCGGUACCA